rnacentral:pre_miRNA from 1 species
AGAACAAGAAUUGUUUGAAUAGCCAAGGAGACUGCCUGACGACUAACCAACUCUAAGACUAUCGAUCGAUCGAGUAGUCUUUGAUAUUGUAUGGUUUAAACCGCAGGCAAGUCAUCCUUGGCUACCACACAAGUUCUCAUUC